UGGGGAAUAUUGCACAAUGGGCGCAAGCCUGAUGCAGCAACGCCGCGUGAACGAUGAAGGUCUUCGGAUCGUAAAGUUCUGUUGCAGGGGAAGAUAAUGACGGUACCCUGUGAGGAAGCCCCGGCUAACUACGUGCCAGCAGCCGCGGUAAUACGUAGGGGGCUAGCGUUAUCCGGAUUUACUGGGCGUAAAGGGUGCGUAGGUGGUCUUUCAAGUCGGUGGUUAAAGGCUACGGCUCAACCGUAGUUAGCCUCCGAAACUGGAAGACUUGAGUGCGCACAACGUAGGCGGAAUUCAUGGUGUAGCGGUGAAAUGCUUAGAUAUCAUGAAGAACUCCGAUUGCGAAGGCAGCUUACGGGAGCGCAACUGACGCUGAAGCUCGAAGGUGCGGGUAUCGAACAGG
rnacentral:rRNA from 1 species